rnacentral:rRNA from 1 species
UACGUAGGUGGCAAGCGUUGUCCGGAUUUAUUGGGUUUAAAGGGUGCGUAGGCGGCCUUAUAAGUCAGUGCUGAAAUAUCCCGGCUUAACCGGGAGGGUGGCAUUGAUACUGUAGGGCUUGAGUAAAGUUGAGGUUGGCGGAAUUGACGGUGUAGCGGUGAAAUGCUUAGAUAUCGUCAAGAACACCGAUAGUGAAGACAGCUAACUAAGCUUUAACUGACGCUGAGGCACGAAAGUGUGGGGAGCAAACAGG